ACUCCUACGGGAGGCAGCAGUGGGGAAUAUUGCACAAUGGGCGGAAGCCUGAUGCAGCGACGCCGCGUGAGGGAUGACGGCCUUCGGGUUGUAAACCUCUUUCAGCAGGGACGAAGCGUAAGUGACGGUACCUGCAGAAGAAGCACCGGCUAACUAUGUGCCAGCAGCCGCGGUAAUACGUAGGGUGCGAGCGUUGUCCGGAAUUACUGGGCGUAAAGAGCUCGUAGGCGGUUUGUCACGUCGUCUGUGAAAUCCUAGGGCUUAACCCUGGACGUGCAGGCGAUACGGGCUGACUUGAGUACUACAGGGGGAGACUGGAAUUUCUGGUGUAGCGGUGGAAUGCACAGAUAUCAGGAAGAACACCGAUGGCGAAGGCAGGUCUCUGGGUAGUAACUGACGCUGAGGAGCGAAAGCAUGGGUAGCGAACAGGAUUAGAUACCCUGGUAGCUACGAGU
rnacentral:rRNA from 1 species